rnacentral:ncRNA from 1 species
GUUCGACAGUGCGACGAAUACAAUACCGUAAGGGAAUAAGUCCGCCUGAUUUUUGGCAGGUUUUGAGCUGUCGAACGCCCUAAU